rnacentral:rRNA from 1 species
UACGUAGGGUGCAAGCGUUGUCCGGAAUUAUUGGGCGUAAAGAGCUCGUAGGCGGUCUGUCGCGUCGGCUGUGAAAACUCGGGGCUCAACCCCGAGCCUGCAGUCGAUACGGGCAGACUAGAGUGCUGUAGGGGAGACUGGAAUUCCUGGUGUAGCGGUGAAAUGCGCAGAUAUCAGGAGGAACACCGGUGGCGAAGGCGGGUCUCUGGGCAGUAACUGACGCUGAGGCACGAAGGCCAGGGGAGCAAACGGG